rnacentral:rRNA from 1 species
GAUGAACGCUGGCGGCGUGCCUAAUACAUGCAAGUCGAGCGAACAGACGAGGAGCUUGCUCCUUCGACGUUAGCGGCGGACGGGUGAGUAACACGUAGGUAACCUACCUAUAAGACUGGGAUAACUUCGGGAAACCGGAGCUAAUACCGGAUAAUAUUUCGAGCCGCAUGGUUCGAUAGUGAAAGAUGGCUUUGCUAUCACUUAUAGAUGGACCUGCGCCGUAUUAGCUAGUUGGUAAGGUAACGGCUUACCAAGGCAACGAUACGUAGCCGACCUGAGAGGGGGAUCGGCCACACGGGAACUGAGACACGGUCCAGACUCCUACGGGAGGCAGCAGUAGGGAAUCUUCCGCAAUGGGCGAAAGCCUGACGGAGCAACGCCGCGUGAGUGAUGAAGGUCUUCGGAUCGUAAAACUCUGUUAUUAGGGAAGAACAAACGUGUAAGUAACUGUGCACGUCUUGACGGUACCUAAUCAGAAAGCCACGGCUAACUACGUG